UAGUUUAAAUUUUAUUUUUAAAUUUUUUAUUUAUUUAGUGAUAAUAUUUAGGAAAGUUCUAGCUAAAUUUUAGCACUAGAAGGGUGUAUAAAUACCUAGUGGCUACAACCAAUUAAACACACACUUGGCUUUUGGAAUUAAUCAAAUUCCUUCAUUCUGCCAUUUUCAAUUCUUUUUCUUUUGUUUUCAACUUUUUGGUUUAAUUACCUUCCAAGGCCCUUCCCUUUUUCCAUCUUCCACAAUUCCAUUUAAACCAUUUAUUUUCAAACAUGAUUCUUU
rnacentral:lncRNA from 1 species